rnacentral:snoRNA from 1 species
AAUGGAAGCUGAACUAUGAAUGCUUGCGGUUUCAGUGUCUGCAUGCAAUUAGCAGUCUUCCUAUAGUAAUGCAAUGGAGAUCUCUGCCUAGCUCAGUGAAGAACAGUCUGGGCCUGGUCGUUCUCCUCCAUACACG